rnacentral:rRNA from 1 species
GACGAACGCUGGCGGCGUGCUUAACACAUGCAAGUCGAACGGAAAGGCCUGCUUUCCCUUGUGGAUUGCGGGUACUCGAGUGGCGAACGGGUGAGUAACACGUGAGUGAUCUGCCCCCAACUUGGGUAUAAGCCUGGGAAACUGGGUCUAAUUCCCGAUAGGACUGCAGGGUGGUGCCUGUGGUGGCAAACGAUUUUCUAGUGGUUGGGGAUGAGCUCGCGGCCUAUCAGCUUGUUGGUGGGGUAAUGGCCUACCAAGGCGGCGACGGGUAGCCGGCCUGAGAGGGUGGACGGCCACAUUGGGACUGAGAUACGGCCCAGACUCCUACGGGAGGCAGCAGUGGGGAAUAUUGCACAAUGGGCGGAAGCCUGAUGCAGCGACGCCGCGUGGGGGAUGACGGCCUUCGGGUUGUAAACUCCUUUCGACCGCGAGGAAGCCACCUGGUUGGAAGGGUGGUGACGGUAGUGGUAAAAGAAGCACCGGCUAACUACGUG